UACGGAAGGCAGCAGUGGGGAAUAUUGCACAAUGGGCGCAAGCCUGAUGCAGCCAUGCCGCGUGUAUGAAAAAGGCCUUCGGGUUGUAAGUACUUUCUAGUCGUGAGGAAGGUGUUAAGGUUAAUAACCUUAGCAAUUGACGUUAGCGACAGAAGAAGCACCGGCUAACUCCGUGCCAGCAGCCGCGGUAAUACGGAGGGUGCGAGCGUUAAUCGGAAUUACUGGGCGUAAAGGGCACGCAGGCGGUUAAUUAAGUUGGAUGUGAAAUCCCCGGGCUUAACCUGGGAAUGGCAUUCAAGACUGGUUAGCUAGAGUCUUGUAGAGGGGGUAGAAUUCCAUGUGUAGCGGUGAAAUGCGUAGAGAUGUGGAGGAAUACCGGUGGCGAAGGCGGCCCCCUGGACAAACGACUGACGCUCAUGUGCGAAAGCUGGGGAGCAAACAGGGAUUAGAUA
rnacentral:rRNA from 1 species